rnacentral:tRNA from 1 species
AGGGGCGUCGCCAAGUGUGUAAGGCACCGGGUUUUGAUCUCGGCAUCCGUUGGUUCGAAUCCAGCCGCCCCUGCCA